AAUAGAUACCCAGGUAGUCCACGCCGUAAACGAUGAGUGCUAAGUGUUAGGGGGUUUCCGCCCCUUAGUGCUGCAGCUAACGCAUUAAGCACUCCGCCUGGGGAGUACGGUCGCAAGACUGAAACUCAAAGGAAUUGACGGGGGCCCGCACAAGCGGUGGAGCAUGUGGUUUAAUUCGAAGCAACGCGAAGAACCUUACCAGGUCUUGACAUCCCACUGACCGCUAUGGAGACAUAGUUUUCCCUUCGGGGACAGUGGUGACAGGUGGUGCAUGGUUGUCGUCAGCUCGUGUCGUGAGAUGUUGGGUUAAGUCCCGCAACGAGCGCAACCCUUGAUCUUAGUUGCCAUCAUUUAGUUGGGCACUCUAAGGUGACUGCCGGUGACAAACCGGAGGAAGGUGGGGAUGACGUCAAAUCAUCAUGCCCCUUAUGACCUGGGCUACACACGUGCUACAAUGGACGGUACAAACGGUUGCCAACCCGCGAGGGGGAGCUAAUCCGAUAAAAUCGUUCUCAGUUCGGAUUGUAGGCUGCAACUCGCCUA
rnacentral:rRNA from 1 species